GACGAACGCUGGCGGCGUGCUUAACACAUGCAAGUCGAACGGAAAGGCCCUUCGGGGUACUCGAGUGGCGAACGGGUGAGUAACACGUGGGUGAUCUGCCCUGCACUUUGGGAUAAGCCUGGGAAACUGGGUCUAAUACCGAAUAUGAUCAUCGGCUUCAUGGUCGGUGGUGGAAAGCUUUUGCGGUGUGGGAUGGGCGCGCGGCCUAUCAGCUUGUUGGUGGGGUAAUGGCCUACCAAGGCGACGACGGGUAGCCGGCCUGAGAGGGUGACCGGCCACACUGGGACUGAGAGACGGCCCAGACUCCUACGGGAGGCAGCAGUGGGGAAUAUUGCACAAUGGGCGCAAGCCUGAUGCAGCGACGCCGCGUGAGGGAUGACGGCCUUCGGGGUGUAAACCUCUUUCAGCACAAACGAAGCGCAAGUGACGGUAUGUGCAGAAGAAGGACCGGCCAACUACGUG
rnacentral:rRNA from 1 species